rnacentral:rRNA from 1 species
AUGAACGCUGGCGGCGUGCCUAAUACCUGCAAGUCGCGCGAACAGACGAGGAGCUUGCUCCUCUGACGUUAGCGGCGGACGGGUGAGUAACACGUGGAUAACCUACCUAUAAGACUGGGAUAACUUCGGGAAACCGGAGCUAAUACCGGAUAAUAUAUUGAACCGCAUGGUUCAAUAGUGAAAGACGGUUUUGCUGUCACUUAUAGAUGGAUCCGCGCCGCACUAGCUAGUUGGUAAGGUAACGGCUUACCAAGGCAACGAUGCGUAGCCGACCUGAGAGGGUGAUCGGCCACACUGGAACUGAGACACGGUCCAGACUCCUACGGGAGGCAGCAGUAGGGAAUCUUCCGCAAUGGGCGAAAGCUUGACGGAGCAACGCCGCGUGAGUGAUGAAGGUCUUCGGAUCGUAAAACUCUGUUAUUAGGGAAGAACAAAUGUGUAAGUAACUAUGCACGUCUUGACGGUACCUAAUCAGAAAGCCACGGCUAACUACGUG